rnacentral:rRNA from 1 species
AGAGUUUGAUCCUGGCUCAGGAUGAACGCUGGCGGCGUGCUUAACACAUGCAAGUCGAACGAAGCACUUUAUUUGAUUUCCUUCGGGACUGAUUAUUUUGUGACUGAGUGGCGGACGGGUGAGUAACGCGUGGGUAACCUGCCUUGUACAGGGGGAUAACAGUUGGAAACGGCUGCUAAUACCGCAUAAGCGCACAGCAUCGCAUGAUGCAGUGUGAAAAACUCCGGUGGUAUAAGAUGGACCCGCGUUGGAUUAGCUAGUUGGUGAGGUAACGGCCCACCAAGGCGACGAUCCAUAGCCGACCUGAGAGGGUGACCGGCCACAUUGGGACUGAGACACGGCCCAAACUCCUACGGGAGGCAGCAGUGGGGAAUAUUGCACAAUGGGCGAAAGCCUGAUGCAGCGACGCCGCGUGAGCGAAGAAGUAUUUCGGUAUGUAAAGCUCUAUCAGCAGGGAAGAUAAUGACGGUACCUGACUAAGAAGCACCGGCUAAAUACGUGCCAGCAGCCGCGGUAAUACGUAUGGUGCAAGCGUUAUCCGGAUUUACUGGGUGUAAAGGGAGCGCAGGCGGUGCGGCAAGUCUGAUGUGAAAGCCCGGGGCUCAACCCCGGUACUGCAUUGGAAACUGUCGUACUAGAGUGUCGGAGGGGUAAGCGGAAUUCCUAGUGUAGCGGUGAAAUGCGUAGAUAUUAGGAGGAACACCAGUGGCGAAGGCGGCUUACUGGACGAUAACUGACGCUGAGGCUCGAAAGCGUGGGGAGCAAACAGGAUUAGAUACCCUGGUAGUCCACGCCGUAAACGAUGAAUACUAGUCGUGGGGAAACAUUGUUUUUCGGCGCCCGCCACAACCUCAGUAAUCAUCCCCCCUGGGGAAUUCCUUUCCCAAAAAAGAAACUCAAAGGAAUUGACGGGCGACCCGCACAAGCGGUGGAGCAUGUGGUUUAUUCGAAGCAACGCGAAGAACCUUACCAAGUCUUGACAUCCUUCUAACCGGUACUUAACCGUACCUUCUCUUCGGAGCAGGAGUGACAGGUGGUGCAUGGUUGUCGUCAGCUCGUGUCGUGAGAUGUUGGGUUAAGUCCCGCAACGAGCGCAACCCUUAUCUUUAGUAGCCAGCGGUUCGGCCGGGCACUCUAGAGAGACUGCCAGGGAUAACCUGGAGGAAGGCGGGGAUGACGUCAAAUCAUCAUGCCCCUUAUGACUUGGGCUACACACGUGCUACAAUGGCGUAAACAAAGGGAAGCAAAGCUGUGAAGCCGAGCAAAUCUCAAAAAUAACGUCUCAGUUCGGACUGUAGUCUGCAACCCGACUACACGAAGCUGGAAUCGCUAGUAAUCGCAGAUCAGAAUGCUGCGGUGAAUACGUUCCCGGGUCUUGUACACACCGCCCGUCA